GUACACGCUGUGACUAGCAUAUCAAUAAGCGGAGGAAAAGAAACUAACAAGGAUUCCCCUAGUAACGGCGAGUGAAGCGGGAAGAGCUCAAAUUUGAAAUCUUAAAGGGUUUCCCUUUACGAAUUGUAGUUUAAAGAAGUGUUUUCUGUUGAGGUUUUGGUAAAAGUUCUUUGGAAUAGGACAUCAUAGAGGGUGAGAAUCCCGUAUUUGACCUUUACUUUCAACUUUGUGAUACACUUUCAAAGAGUCGGAUUGUUUGGGAAUGCAGUCCAGAAUGGGUGGUAAAUUUCAUCUAAAGCUAAAUAUUGGCGAGAGACCGAUAGCGAACAAGUACCGUGAGGGAAAGAUGAAAAGAACUUUGAAAAGAGAGUUAAACAGUACGUGAAAUUGUCAAAAGGGAAGCGUUUGACACCAGUGUUGUUUUUCUGAAAAUCAAUUAAAGAACUGUUUAUGCUAAGUUGUUUAGACUUUAUCAGCUAACUGUUUAGUUUUGAGCUUUUCUUUAAUGCACUUUUCAGUUAACAAGUCAACAUCAAUUUCUUUUGCUGUAAAAAAGCUUGAGGAAGGUGGCUUGAGAUUCGUCUUAAGUGUUUAUAGCCUCUUGCCUAUGCAGUCGGAGAGAUUGAGGUCUGCAGCGUAGAUCCUUCGGGGCUAAAUGCAUUUGUGCUAAGUUAUAGCAUUUCAUAGACAACUUGUUGACUAUGAUUUGUCUUGUAGCUUACUCGCUUAUGUUAUUUUACCUACGCUUAGGAUGUUGACAGCAGUAUAGACUGU
rnacentral:rRNA from 1 species